ACACAUGCAGUCGAGGGGUAUAGGUUUUCGGACCUAGAGACCGGCGCACGGGUGCGUAACGCGUAUGCAAUCUACCUUUCACAGAGGGAUAGCCCAGAGAAAUUUGGAUUAAUACCUCAUAGUAUGUAUGAAUGGCAUCAUUUAUACAUUAAAGUCACAACGGUGAAAGAUGAGCAUGCGUCCCAUUAGCUUGUUGGUAAGGUAACGGCUUACCAAGGCAACGAUGGGUAGGGGUCCUGAGAGGGAGAUCCCCCACACUGGUACUGAGACACGGACCAGACUCCUACGGGAGGCAGCAGUGAGGAAUAUUGGACAAUGGGCGCAAGCCUGAUCCAGCCAUGCCGCGUGCAGGAUGACGGUCCUAUGGAUUGUAAACUGCUUUUGCACAGGAAGAAACAACAUUACGUGUAAUGUCUUGACGGUACUGUGAGAAUAAGGAUCGGCUAACUCCGUGCCAGCAGCCGCGGUAAUACGGAGGAUCCAAGCGUUAUCCGGAAUCAUUGGGUUUAAAGGGUCCGUAGGCGGUCUUAUAAGUCAGUGGUGAAAUCUCCCCGCUCAACGGGGAAACGGCCAUUGAUACUGUAAGACUUGAAUUAUUAGGAAGUAACUAGAAUAUGUAGUGUAGCGGUGAAAUGCUUAGAGAUUACAUGGAAUACCAAUUGCGAAGGCAGGUUACUACUAAUGGAUUGACGCUGAUGGACGAAAGCGUGGGUAGCGAACAGGAUUAGAUACCCUGGUAGUCCACGCCGUAAACGAUGGAUACUAGCUGUUGGGAGCAAUCUCAGUGGCUAA
rnacentral:rRNA from 1 species